rnacentral:rRNA from 1 species
AUUGAACGCUGGCGGCAGGCCUAACACAUGCAAGUCGAACGGUAACAGGAAACAGCUUGCUGUUUCGCUGACGAGUGGCGGACGGGUGGGUAAUGUCUGGGAAACUGCCUGAUGGAGGGGGAUAACUACUGGAAACGGUAGCUAAUACCGCAUAACGUCGCAAGACCAAAGCGGGGGACCUUCGGGCCUCUUGCCUUCUGAUGUGCACAGAUGGGAUUAGCUAGUAGGUGGGGUAACGGCUCACCUAGGCGACGAUCCCUAGCUGGUCUGAGAGGAUGACCAGCCACACUGGAACUGAGACACGGUCCAGACUCCUACGGGAGGCAGCAGUGGGGAAUAUUGCACAAUGGGCGCAAGCCUGAUGCAGCCAUGCCGCGUGUAUGAAGAAGGCCUUCGGGUUGUAAAGUACUUUCAGCGGGGAGGAAGGGAGUAAAGUUAAUACCUUUGCUCAUUGACGUUACCCGCAGAAGAAGCACCGGCUAACUCCGUG